rnacentral:rRNA from 1 species
UACAGAGGGUGCGAGCGUUAAUCGGAAUUACUGGGCGUAAAGCGUGCGUAGACGGUUAUUUAAGUCGGGUGUGAAAGCCCCGGGCUCAACCUGGGAAUUGCAUUCGAGACUGGAUAGCUAGGGUACGGUAGAGGGAAGCGGAAUUUCCGGUGUAGCGGUGAAAUGCGUAGAUAUCGGAAGGAACAUCAGUGGCGAAAGCGGCUUCCUGGACCAGUACCGACGUUCAGGCACGAAAGCGUGGGGAGCAAACAGG